rnacentral:tRNA from 1 species
GAGAAAACUCGCAAGGACUGCUAACCCAUGCCUCCAUACUUAAAACUAUGGCUUUCUCA